rnacentral:RNase_P_RNA from 1 species
CGAGGCGGACGGGUGACCGCCGGCGAAGUGAAUAGCGUUGGAGGAAAGUCCGGGCUCCGCAGAGCAGGGCGCUGGGUAACACCCAGUCGGGGCGACCCGAAGGAAAGUGCCACAGAAAAUUACCGCCAGGCGAGAUUGAUCUCCGGAGAAAUGUCGUCAGGUAAGGGUGAAAAGGUGGGGUAAGAGCCCACCGGCGACCGGGUGACCGGCCGGCCAGGUAAACCCCGCCCGGAGCAAGACCAAAUAGGAGGACCAGCCGGAUCGAAAGGUCCGGUCAAAAGACGGCUGCUCGCCGAGUCCUCGGGUAUCGGUCGCUAGAGACGCGGCGUAAGCCGCGCCCCAGACAGAUGGUCACCGUCCCGCGAGGGACACAGAACCCGGCUUACGCGCCGUUCUCGGCCC